UCGGGAAUUUUGGGCAAUGGGCGAAAGCCUGAUGGAGCGACGUCGCGUGAUGGACGAAGUGCUUCGGCACGUAAACAUCUUUUAUGUGGGAUGAAAUUAUUGACAGUACCACAUGAAUAAGGGGCUCCUAACUCUGUGCCAGCAGGAGCGGUAAUACAGAGGCCCCAAGCGUUAUCCGGAAUCACUGGGCGUAAAGGGUGUCGAGGCGGUUGUAUUAGUCGUUCGUAAAAUCUACGAGCUUAACUUGUAGGCGGCGAACGAAACGGUACGACUUGAGGUUUGGAGAGGUGCGUGGAACUCACGGUGUAGGGGUGAAAUCCGUUGAUAUCGUGGGGAACACCAAAGGCGAAGGCAGCGCACUGGCCAAAAUCUGACGCUCACACACGAAAGCUAGGGUAGCGAAGAGGAUUAGAUACCCCAGUAGUCCCUGAGCGGGCUGGCAAGGCGCAU
rnacentral:rRNA from 1 species